CUCAGUGCUCAGUCCUGGCCUCUCUUGUUUCUCAAGUCUUGACCGUGAAGCGUGAAGCACCAGACCUGUCCGCUCGUCAUGUCGAUUCCCUUCCUUUUUUCUCCUGAUUGCUCUUGUACUAGCUCACCAUUGUUGCCAGUACUUUUCUAUUUAGUUUUUAUUGUGAAAACGUGGGCAUAAGUUUGGGUUCUUUAUUGUUUCUUUAAAUUUUGAGAAAAUUAUUAAGUUUAUGUUCAAUUGAUACGGAAAUGAUGCGUUAUCAAUGAACUAUCUGAACUGCAAUUCAGUUGAUAGCCAAAUUCUAGUAAGAUCUGGAAAAUGUUCUCUGAUAUGAAAAUAAUGAAUUGUCAGCAAGCUGCAUGUACUCUUCACAUUCAAUUUUACAUGCGCUGUCUUCCAUUCUUACAUGGAUGCUUAGCAUUGGCUUAGGAUUCAUACGAUGAGCUCUUCCUUGGGAUUCAGGGGAUAUCAGAUAAUUGGAGAAAAUUAAUUAAUUCGUCCUUAUUUGUGAUUCUUUUCUUCUAGUGGCUUAUUCUUUUUUCUUUUUCUUUUUUUUUUUUUCUUUCAGGAAAUGGGUUGAUGACAUUAAGCAAUUAGCAAAGGGGCUGGGAGAGAACUUCACUGAUAGAGAUGGUUGAUGAAGCUGACCCAGAUUGUAAGUUAUUCUGCUUUUGUCCUGGAUUCAGUUUGCAGAACUCUUAGUAGUGGUGUGUUGAAACUGUAUUCACGAGGAAUUACUUAUUUUUUUCAUUGUUGUAGUUUGUUGAAAUUUGCACUCUUCUUAAUAAAAACAAAACUUUACUCAUUUUAACGUCUGAAGAUUAUUUGCUAGAAAAUAAAACUAAUAAUUACAGGCUCGAAAUUGUUGAAACUAUAAUAGAACAUUUUGACAAAAAUUACUUUUAUAGGAAUUAUUUGAGAACUGAAAGUGAAACAGUGAAAAACUAAGAAUAUUAUUGCUCACAGUCAUAACAUACAUAGAUGAUAGAACACAUAAAACAAUUGAAAUCUACUCAUCAGCAGUUGAAUCUAAACCCAUUUCAGACAAUUGUUCUUCUACAUGUUGUUCUUUUGGUUGUUCAAAUAAGCUGUGUUUGUUUGUGUUAAUCACUACUCGAAAUAGGAGUGGAAAUUGAAAAAAUAUAAAGAAAGUAACGGGGAUUGUGGAAAGAAUAGUGAGUGGAAUGUCAAUCCAAGAUAAUCGUUUUUGGAGCAGAAUAAAAAUGCUAGAGCCAAAGGCUAUCAUCAUGGUUACUACAGAGAAGAAAAGAGUAGAAAGGCCAAUGAUUAGUUUUCUGGGUAAGGACUUGAGGAAAUCUUUCUCUGCAUAACGUGAAGUGAGGAUACCAAGAAAUAUUAGCACAGAAGUAUUAGACAAGAAGAGUGAUAGUGCAUUUGUAAUGACAAAUAUUAGAAAUGCAUCAUAACCCAAGAAUAUAGGAAUGCCUGUGUCAUUUUUGGUGCCACCAGGAAUUGUAAAAGCUGUUGUGAACACAACGGUGGCAAUGAGAGCAGCCACAACCAUACAUGAAGCUGUGGUAUUCUUCAUCCAUCUUUCACCUUCUUUCAUCAACUCCGCAUGUUCCUUGGUGAAUAAAGUGCUAGGUGUAUGACCAUUUUCAUUAGUUCUUUCCAUGAACUUUGUUGGUACCAUGCUUUGUAUUUCCUAGGGCAAAAAAAAAAAAGUUCUUUUAAUCAAGUUAAUCUAGAGCCAAUUUGGAAUAUUGCUAUUUGAACUAUCAUUAAAAAAAAGGUUGGAUGCGUAAUUUGUCAUUUCACUUUUUUACAAAAAGUUAUUUUAUCCUCUUAAUUUUAUCUUCAUUUUAUUUACACCAACUUUCAAAUUGUGAAUAACUUAAUCCUACAAUGCAAGUGAGAGUAUAUAUCAUCCCCUUCACUUUUUCAAUUGUGAAAUAACUUAUUUCCGAUGUUGUGGGUGCUAAUGAAUAUCACCCUCCUGUUGCAGUGAUUAAGUUAUUCUAUAGUUUGAAAGUUGAAGAGGCAAAUAGAAUAAAAAUAAAGUUGAGGAGAUAAUGUGAUUUUUAGUGAAAAGGUUAGUGGGUAAAUUAUGCAUUUGGACAAAAUAAGAUCUUACAUAUAGAAAAAAAAAAGUUUAUGUUAAUUACAUGAUUUUAAUUCAAUUCAAAGUGCUUUAGUUAUAAGAACAUAGAAAGGGGUGCCUUUUUAAAAGGUGGAUUCAACAUGCAAUAUCAACCUGGCCAUUAAUUUAUAAAUUUAAAAUCUAGAAGGAAAAUUUUAAAUAUAAAGAUUACCUUAAACCAUUGUAAUUCCUUUUGCAUUUGUAGAGCUGCACCAGGGACCCGAUCGAGUUGAAAGGAAGGGGACAGCUUAGCCGCCAUAUGUAAGAAGUUAUUUGAAAAUACAUCUCUUUUUGUCACUAUUGUGCGACGUUUUGCCCCCAAUCCAUAGAUAAGGCUAAAAAUUUUUUCUUGGCGAAGUAGGAUUGCAUAUGCAAAUAGUGUUCUUCCCUUGUUAUCAACUCUCCAUACUAAUUCAGGGUUAGAUUUGAUUAGCUCCUGGAUAAACUCAACUAGACCAUUCUUUAUUGCAUCAUAAAUUAUUAAAUUAAACCUAAGAUUCCUGAGUUCUUCGUUUCCUAAUGUUGGUAUUUCCUUGAGUAGCAAUUUGAGGAGUUGCAAGGCUUGAGCAUGUCUCUUCUUCAUAUCUUUUAUUCUUUCAGGGACUACAAUUACAUGAAAAAGUUGAGAGAUCAAUACAAUAAUGAAUGUUUGAUUGAAUGUUAAUUGAUUAAGUAGUUGAUGGCUUACCAAGAUGUUUUAGGGAUCUCCAAAGCAGUGCGUGCGCUAAGUUGACAACUGUAAGAAAAAUACCAUAUUUAUAAUAAUAUUUUAGUUUGAAUUAAUAUGAAAAUGAAUUACUAUUAUUACUAUGAUACAACUUAUUAUAUUUCUAGAGUCAUUUAGGAUAUACCUUGUUUUCUUGUGCUUGUUCCACAACUUGAACCUUGCUUCCUAUGCGUUUGGACAUUCUCUUCAUCUUUGGGCUUUGCGGGGUUAAUAUCAUCUUGAUAGGGUUCAGGAACACCUUUCAUGCCAUUUUAUACUUAUGUUUUAGCUAUUUUUAAAGCAAUGUAUGGACACGUAUUCACUUUUGUACUUACAUGAGUAUAACCAUUGGUUCCAAAAUCCAAGUGUACUUCCACUCAGAAAUGCUGAAGUUUUAUUAGCCAGCAAACUUAUAGAUAAAUUUCUAUGAAAAUCCUCCAUAAAACCAAGUCUUCGGUACUCCUUCUCCUUCAACAGAUGCAGUGCUUCAUCUUUAUUAACAAAUUAUAAAACAAUUAUAAAUUAGGGUAUCAAAGAUAUAAACAAAAUUAAUUAAAUUUAUAUAACUUCAAGAUGCUAAAAGAUAUUAAUAAGUUUUAAAUUCGAAUGUAAAUUUAAGUUUUAAAAUUAGAAAUAUACCACUAAUGGUGGCUACGGGAAUCAAAUAGGCCCAAUUUUACAUCAAAUCCAUUAAUUUUGGUCUCUAAAAUCGAGAUUCAAGCAGGGGCAGAGCCAUGGCGGCAUAUUCUAAGCAAUUAACGAGUCAUGUGCUGAGAUUAGAGGAGGCUAUAAGAGGUGACUUGUUUGACCCCUAAUGGCAGAAUUGUUGUUUUCAAAAACAGGCCCCUAUAGGGCUGCAUCCUUUUGUGAAGGAUUGAAUCCCUAACAAGUUGAAAAGAGAGGAAAGGAAUGAGAAAUGAAAGAAACAACAGAAAAAGAAAGGGGGAGAAGUGAGAGAAAGAGAGUGACAAGAAGAAAGAUUGAUUAGUAUUGAUAAUUCUCAAAAAGCCUUGCAAGAUAGCUUCUUCUGAGAUAUAUAGGUCUCAAUAACUGCCCUAACAGAAUCAACUACAGUUAUAGCAGAAUCAGCUACUACUGUUAACAUCUUUCAACUACUUAACUAUCGGAGACCACCCUAACUAUUUUAUUAAUUCCACGUGUAAUCGCCAACCCUCUUUACUCUCCUUACUGGUCAUAAUAUUCCCCACUUCUUGAAAUCAUUAUUGUCCUCAGGAAUGAGUAAUAGAAACUGCAACACCAAUAAAACUGUUGCUUUCAUAUACAGUAAUUGAGCAACAGAAUUCAACAGACAAAAGCCAAAAGAAUCAAAACGUUGAAUUGGGUUUUUUUUUCCUGCACCAUAGGAGAUGAUUUUUUUUCCUUGCCUUCUUGAUAUUUCCUAUUCGUCCUCCAUAGAAAGUAAGAAAUCAUAGGAUAGAAUCCACCCUCUUUCCAUUUUAGCUGAACAAUAACCACAUUAGAGAGCUUUGACAACCCUGUUCUGUUUUCUCCUUAUCAACAGAUGCAUACUAAAACUCAAAUCUCUUUUCCUCGAAAAAAAAAAGACAACCGCCUUCACAUGUUUUUCUCUUCAGCUGAGUUGAUUGUCCUAUAUAUCCAUCAAAUCAAGAUUACUUUCAUCUAAUGUUGUAUUUAGUAGUGGAUGCUUGGCCCAUAGGAAUUGCAAGAUAAUGGCCAUGCUGAACCAGGCUGCUUGAAUUUACAUGGCCAGCUUCUGAAAUGUGUCCAAGCUUCGAAUCUUGAGAACUUAGAUUUUCAAGGAAAGCUUUAGAAAUGUUACCAUCCUCAAAACGUAGAUUAUUCUCAUCAUUUGCAACAUAAGCAUCAUUCUCAAAGCUUUGCUGAAUCAAAUUUUCAAGAAUUUGAAAUUUUGGUUCCUUCUUUUGAACCAACUUCUUCUCAUCUCCAUUCCCAUGAAAACUUUUCUUGUCAUCAAGAGAAACAGUCUCCUUAUUCUCGCUUGCCUUAGUCUUUGCAAAUUCCCUGCCAGUACCCCGGGAAGUUUCCAUUUCAUGGUUUCUUUCUUCUUCUAUAUCUUCAUCAUUCUUCUCCUUAGUGUCCUCUCUUACACUAAAUAUAUUAGCAAGAAAAUCUUGCUCCAUUUCAAUAAUGCCCUUGUCAUUCUUAUUGGGAGUUUUACUUGGAGCAUCUUGGUCUUCAUUUGGCUUGUUGGAAUUUCCAAAAAGGUAAUCUUGUCAGUUUUCCGUUCACUGACAUCAGUUUUCUUAGAUUUUCUCCAUUACCAAUCCCCUCGUCUUGCAUUCUCUUAAGAUGUUAAAGCACAUCCAAUAGGAUCUUUUGUUGCCAAGGUUGUAGUUCAUUGGACUGAUUGUAGCAGUGGUAGGUAAUAUCUCUUUAGCAUUCUGACACCAAACAGAGAAGUGGCCUUUGAAGCUUUGUAAUUGAUGAAUUACAAAAGGAAAAUGUGUUAGAUUUGUGAUUCAUAAUCUAGUGGGAUACUCUUUCCUAAGUAGAGUGUUAGAGUGGAGGAUUUAUUCCUCAACAGGUGGAGGACUAUAAAAGGUAGAUUUGUUGUUUAUAUGUUAUCCUUUGAAUAAGUUUCUUAAUUAGUUAGGACUAAAGGGUUUAAUGCUAUAAAUAGAGGUAUGGUUGAUAGAUUAUUUGGCUCUUCCCAAUCGAAGAGAAAGGCUUUGUUAUUUUUUCAGGUGCCCAGAACGCUAGAGGGGAGAAGCAAACCGAACCUCUAAUCGACUUAUGUACAUGUUCCUGCGGCUCGGAUGAGUAUUCUUGUUUAUAUCGCUACGACUAUCAACACUUUCUUUUUCCUAUCAACAAAACAUCCCCUUUUUCUUCGCUCUUCCGGAACCGGUGCAGAAAUGGGUGCUUUUUUUACGUUGUUUACCUUAGUUACUGGGGGGUCUUAGGGAAGAACUAUGUGGGGAACCUUUUGGGUGUGUGAUGCUCAUUUAACUUCUGUAUUCAUCUCGUUCCUUAUUUACCUGGGUGCAUUGCAUUUUCAAAAGCUUCCUGUCGAACUGGCUUCUAUUUCAAUCUGUGCCGGACCGAUGGAUAUACCGAUAAUCAACUCUUCAGUCAACUGGUGGAAUACAUCGCAUCGACCUGGAAGCUUUCUCUCAUACCAAUUUUUAAGGAUUGAAUCCCUGUUCCCUAACAAGCCAGAAAGAGAGGAAAGGAGAGAGAAACAGAAGAAACAGCAGAGAGAGAAAGGAGAGAAUUGCAGAGUAGACAGAAUUAGAGAGAGAGAGAGAGAGAGAGAGGAAGAAAGAAUGAUUGAUUAGUAUUAAUUUGUAUUUUCCUUAUUAAUCAUAACACCUUUUUUAUUUAUUUAUUUUUUAAUAAGCUAAUUUUUAUGAUUAAAAGUGGAAAAGCGUAACAGAAUAAGCCAUACUAAUCCAGGAUCUGGACAUCUUUUAGAUGGUUGUUUUCUCUUAAGCUUCUCUUGCAAGUCUUGAGCAAACUCAUCGUUGUUCUAGACUUUUUCUCUGCUUCUUUCACUAGUUUUCUUCUAUAUAGAUUUUCAUCAUGGUCCCCGUUUGCAAUAUAAUAGGCUCAUAGUUUGUCAGUUUUCAUCUGUAUAGUUUCUUAUCAUUGAUCUCUAAAGAAUUGGCCCAAUUAUUAAGGGGGAUGGCUCCACCCCUAGAUUCAAGAUCAGACCUAUUAGAAUUCUUUUAAUUCUAAUUCUAUACCUAUACUGAACUAUAAAUAAGCCUUCCUAAGAGAUUAUUAAAAAUAUUACAUUGAAAUAAUUUUGGUGUAAGAAAAGAACAGAGUGGCAUACCAUAAAGUCCAUCAGAGAUGAAGCAGUUUAGAAGUGUAGCACCAUUCUUAUCACCCCUUAGUGGACUGAGAUACUGAAUGGGAGUUUUCUCAAGAAGAUAAUGUAUUGUUUCUCUUUGGUCAAAUAAUGAAGCUUCGACGAUUGGAAGACGGCCAUCAUAAUCAUUUCCUUUGGUAACCAAAUUUUUAUUCUUUGCCAACAUCACCUUCAUCAUAUCUAUCCUUCCAUUCAAGGCUGCAAGAGUAAAGGCUGUAUUGCCAUAAUUGGAUGUCAUUUCCAAGUCUUCUUCUGACAUUAACUUCACCAACUGUUCUGCAAUCUUCCAUUUUCCAGACAAUACAGCCACUUGAAGAGCAUUAAGACCCAUCAAUGAUAUCUUUUUCCUAACAUCAUUAGGAUUCUUUGAUAGCCAUUCUUCAGCUGUAUUCCAAUCUCCCUUUUCUAUUGCUUUGCAUAGGGUUUUGUAUUGAAGGAUGCUUGAUGUUUCUACAAUAACAUAUGCAUAUUAUAUUUAAAAAGAAGAAUUCCCUUAUAUAUAUAUAUUUGUGUGUGUGCAUAUGUAUAUAUAUCUGUAUUUGUUGAUUAUCAAAAUGGAAAAUUUUUUAAAAUUUAAAUAGCAAGUACCUUCUUCCUUGUAAUGCUUAACCUUGGAGGGCUUCUCGGCCAGGUGCUCCCAAACAAAUUUGGCGGAAUCAACUUCACUGGGAUACUUCCUCAUCAAAUUUGAAAUGGUGUCUUCCUCACAAGAAUUUUCAAUGGCAUGUAAAGCCAUAGCAUUCUUCUUGAUCCAAUCCUUGUAGUUGGGAUCAUUUGCUUGGGGUUUUUCUUCCUCUCCAAACACUAUGCUCCCCAAGUCUUGACCGAUCAGGUAAUGUUUCAUGCAUUCUUUCCAAUUCUCAAAAUUAGCUUCCAUUCGCUUUUUGAUGACAAGGCUACCAAAUCCACUAGUAUUUGUUGUUGCCAUGGCUACUAGGUCAAAAUUCAAAUAUAUAGUUAUUUUCUUUUCAUCAUUCUUAACAAGCUUUUAUCUUUAGGGAAAAUUACUAUUUAAUUUUUGUUGUAUGAUGAAUCUAACUUGUUAGUCCCUGUGGUUUUAAAAAUAUACUAAAUGCUCCCUAUGGUUUUGAAAACUCAAUUAAAAGGUCUCUCCUGUUAAAUUUUGACAGAAAAAUAAAUAGUAAUUUUGUGAUACGACAAAAAAUAAAUAGUAAUUUUUCCUUAUCUUUAAAAUGUAAGCAAAUAAAUAAAUAAAUGAAAGCUAAAUACCAAAAUAGGCGAUUGAUUACAAAAGGCAGCAUUGUUCUAAUUAUGUCUUUAUGAACUAAGGAAAAUUAUAAGAAUUACUAAAUUAGGAAUAAAACUAAAUGCACCCAUUAUCUUACCAAAUUUGGAGAGAUGAAUAAGUUGUCCUAAGCUUCCAGCUGUUAAAUGCCUUUGGACACAAUGGAUUCAGAGAGGCCAUAUAUAUAUUUAUAUACAAAAUCAAUGUAGCUCUUAACUAUGUAUUGAUAAUGGACAUUUUUGUUGAUGUUAUUCCCUUUUCCAUAACCUCAAAAGAAAGUUAUCCUUACUGUUUAUGGAAUUUUCUUUUUUUUUUUUCUUACUUUGUAUUUCUAAUGAAUUAAUAUAUUAUAUGAGUGUUCUUUAAUUCCUUUUAUUUUUAUCAUUUAUUUUAUACUGUGUGUGUGAAAGGGAGAAAGUUUAUUGUGUACUUGCGGAUGCAGAGGGAGAUAUGAAAGGAUUUCAUGAAGAGAGAAUAACUUGCUCUUUCCAUUAUUUUUGAAUUAGAUUCUGUUCUUGUAUACAUGUGUGUGAAAGGUAGAAAGUUUAAUGAUAAAUUAGAACCUAUUAAUAGAAAAUUAAUGGAAAGAAUUUACUUUUGAGAUAGAAAGAAAUGUGAAAAAUUUGAUGAAAAG
rnacentral:lncRNA from 1 species